UAACUAAUGGUAACUGAUUAGGCCAAAAAUCUAUAUACUAUAGGCAUAAAGUAACACUGUAUUCUCUAAGGAUGGUACCAAAAUAAAAUACAAAAAGAUACAGUCGUUGUGAAUUGAAAAUCUGACUUAUGCAACAUUUUGACAUAUUUUUUUAUACGAAAAUUUGGUUACCACGUAGCCACGUAUAAUAGUCAAAAUCUCCAAAAAGGGCAAUUAUUUUGACAACGACACACUAAAUCGGGAUACAUAUAAGAUUAUUGGGGCGGAUUUUCUUCCGGUGCCCAGGAGCGGCAUUGAGUUUUAGUCCGGCCCUGAUUAUAAUUAUAUAAUUUGUAAGCAAUGUGGAAUUGAUUUUAUUACCGAGCUGAAUAAAAGGGUAUUUGGAAUUACCGAGCUGAAUAAAAGGGUAUUUGGAAUUACCCAGAGAGUGCAGUUAUUAAUAGGAUUGAAAUCUGUAGUAGAAAGCAAAUGAUGUUUUUAUUUAAAGUUCUUUUUUUAAGUUUUGUAAGACCCAAUUAUUACCAGGUUUCUUGAAUCAAUACUGGCCAGAAUGCUAAUACAAUUUCUUGGUGUUACAAUACUUUUUUAGCAAAAAAGUAUAUACUUGAUACACGUUUGCGAACUACUUCUAAGAAAAAGGAAUAAUAUUGAAUAAUAAGAAAAUACAAGAAGAAUAAAAGUGUAAUAACUGAUCGUAAGGCAUAUUGUAAUGCUACACGGGAUGUUCAACCAUCUUGGUCAAGUGGUCAUCUGUUCCAGUUUGAAAAAUGGGAGUCUCUUAUACACUAUACAAGUGCGACUCAAACAUUGAUUCUCAAUGUGGAUGGCAGGCUAGUCUACAGUGAAAUUUGGAUUUUGUUUUCUUUUCUAUAUGUACUAUUAUUGAUUGGAUAUUAAAUAUGGUCCCAAAUUUGACUGACAAAAUACAUAAUAA